rnacentral:piRNA from 1 species
UAAAAAUAUCGAGGUCCUGGCUUU